UAUUGAUGACCUCUUCUUCUGCAAAAUAUAAUAGCAAGUAUCAAUUUCCUAAUAAAGUUAGAUAAUUUAGAUAUUAAUUGAUACUUUUUAUGUCAAUUUGUGACAUAAAUCACACCCCCCAACUUAAUCAUUGCUAGUCACUUAGCAAUGUACCAAAAUAAGAUCAUAUUCUAAAAAGAUCCUUCCUUUGCAAAUUAAUUUAAGAUCGAAAUUCAAGAAGUUUUCUAGUAUUACUAAGUAAUGAGCUUCGAAUUAGCAUCGGUAGUCAGUCUACUUAGGAGAUUUCUUAGAGUACACUUAAAGUUUUAUAGCACUUGUGUGAGUGAUAACUAACUUAGUAUUUCAGUAUUAAUUUGUACGGGCCAAUUGUAUCAUUUUUCAUAACUUAGUUCGAUUAAUUUUCUAUACACCCCAGAUUAAACAAAGAACUAAGGUAGCUUUCACACUGUUUUUUUUUUUU
rnacentral:lncRNA from 1 species